AAUCCAUGCAUAGGACACGUUCACAUCAAAUCUUUAAAUCUUUCCCAUGCUUCAAGCAAGCUUUCAUCGUCCAUCUGCUUGAAUUAAGUUAAAUCGUUUCGAAGCUU